AUCAGAACUGUGGUUUUCCUCUCUGGAUGCCUUCAAGUUGUUUGCCUUCUUAACCCAGACAUCUUAAGCAUUUCCAAGGAGUUAAAUUACUGUCCCGUGACAGUAAGGUUUUACUGAUGCUUAUGUUGCGUGUUGUCCCAAAACAGAACUGAUGUUAGAGAUAGUUUGAGUGUGCUCUGACAUCUGGAAAAAGUUAUACUGAAGUCUGGCUGCAGUUCAGUUCUUUACCUUUUAGGACAAGCCUCUUGCAUUUGAUCUGGGCUGGAAAUUCUCAACAUCAGCUUUUGGAGAUGUUUUGAUGUGCAUGUGUAGAGAAGGAUGUAAGAGAAAAUGCAAGAGGAUCUCGUCUGAAUUCUGCUGAGUGGCAAAGAAGGCAUCUAAUGUCAGUGGAGAGGUUAAGUAGGCUUGUCAGUGUAAGGUAGGAGUCACAUUUUUGAAUGGGUAUCCAUAUUCUGUAGGCAAACAAUUUGUUGACUGCCUGAAGUGAAGACUGAGAGAAGAUUUGUAUUGGCUCUUGAUACCCCACACACAGCACAAAAGCACUUCUCAAGGAAGGAGCUAGCUUUUCUCUGAGCAGAAGAAGGGGAAAACUGCUUACAGUCCUCUCAGCCUUGCUUCAGAGUUUAUGGAAAGUGUUGGCCUUGCUUGCUCACCCCUUACAAGUGGAAACAGGCUGGCCAUCUGCAGGAGCGGUCUUAUUUAGUGGAAACUGCCACAUGUAAGAAGAAGGGGCUGGUCCCACAAAGGUGUGGGUUUGUUGACAUCUGCUCUCUUUCUGUGUGAUUGGAGGGUGCUUGGAAGGUGUGGUCUCAUCUGCAUCAUGCCUCCACUGCCUUUGGCUCGACCAAAUUGAGCCGUGCCUGAGGCUGUAAAAGGAGGGGACUGCUGCAAGCAGAGUAAAAACGUCUGUGUGAAAAAAACAUUGCUCUUUUCCUGCUCUGUUUCUUCAGUGUAUGCAUUCCUGCUGAGAACAGAAGUACUGUGCGAUUUUGGCUCAGGGUGGAAGAUGAAAGGAGAGCCCCUUUGGACAUGAAGCUCCGGUUGGCGGCUGCAUUUGGAUGCUAGAGGAGCUGCCACCAGAACGCCGGGCUGGCUGCCCAUGGCAAGGCUGGGAUUACUUUGCUGCUACAUGCCGUUGCUCAGCACAAGAACAAGGCGCUUACAAGAAGGUGGCUUUGUGUGGCGAUGUGCAGGGCAAGCUGAAGUGCACAAAAAUGGUUGCCUGCCAGUCCUCCGUAGGAGGAAAAUAGCCUGGCAUUGUGUCACUGGAGUGCAGACAGGCAGGAGAGCCAGAAGAUUUGUUGUCAGGAACCCUUGCACGUACUCUGGGGCGGCAGCUCAAGUUUUUAAGUUACACGUACGUAUUGCACAACUUCUGAAGAAAAGAAGUCCUCCAGAUGAUGCAAGCUGACUGGGUGAAGCUUGGUUCCUUGAAGUAGAACAUCAAAUGAACAAAGCAGCAUGGGUCCUUGAAAGAGAAUAAAAUGGCUGGAAGAAGAAAAAUUCCCAGGCAAAGCCCUGCAGAAAGAUAGUUACUGGUUGCUUUCCAAUACAUUGAUGGCAAAACAGGCUUUUCAAGAAAAUGCAAUCAAGAGCUUUCUUCCCUCUCCCUGCUAGAAUACUACUGAAGUUUAUUAAGGACAUCAGCAGCAAAACCCGUCUGAAAAGAAGAGGCUAUUACUUCAAAGGAAAAUAAAUAAAAGGCAAAUGACCACUCAGAAACACCGAGACUGCAUUGGACAACAAGCGAAAUGCCUCACAAAAGUACCAGAGGCUGGUAUGGAUUACAGAAGGAGAAGGUAGAAUUGCCCUCCCAGGAUCUUUGCAGGCCCCAUCUUCAAGUGUCUGGGACAAACAUCUGCUAGGCCAUAGGUCUAGAGAGAAAUAGAAGGACAAGCAGUGCAGGCAGGAAAACAGAAAUUGGCCUUUCUUCUCGGAAUACUUAAAAUUUCACUGAAAGCACAUCUCCAUGCCUUUUCAGCCCUGCAGAAACAUGUCUAAGUUUGUACAGCACUGAACAGAACAAGACCUUGGGCCCGUGACUGUCGAUUUCAGGCCCUGCUGCAGUACAAAUAAUUGACAGGAGUUAUUUGUUGUGAGAAAGCAGAUCCGUUCUCGAUCAGUGAUACCCAGUGAAAUGUAGGCAAGGUUUCAAAACAGAAAUCGGAGUCAGAGCCCGCCCAAGCUGUGUUGGAACUUUGCUCUGCUUCCUUUGAACCACUCCCUUUCCAUCAGAGAGGAAACGUGUGGCACGUACUGAGCUCAUGGGGCUGCUUGACCUGCCACUUCUGCCGUGUUUGUUCACUUCCCAGUCUUGGACAUCCAGUCACUAGUUCCUUAGUUCCUGCAGAGAUCCAGCACUGGCAUGAGAAACUUCUAAGCAUUAGGCUGCCCUGUGUGCUUGGCACCAAAUUCAGACAAUUUUGGGAACAGUUCAGAUCUUCUGGAGGCUGGUUGUUGGUAUAUACCACAGUGUUCAAAUGGAUAAUGAGCUUGUCUUCAGCCUGUAGAGAUACAAAACACCACAUUUUAACACCUGUGGAACAUCUGACAGCACAGCAAACUGACAACCAGAGCAGUGACUGAAAGCAAAUAUCCCUGCUGUCCUGUGGCUACAGUGUGUAUGCAUGGCUUGCACACCCUAGUUAGCCUCUGGGUAAAAGAAGGGUUGCUACCUCUGUGUGGUGCUAUGCUGAAGCCAGUUGGCUCUUUUAGCUGUGCUGCUUCCAGAGCCCAAGGGAUUUUGGCUGUCCAAGUGUAUGGGAAGACAAGUGUCUGUAACCUGCUGUUUGGGAACUUUCCAAAGAAACAGGGAAGAGCAGAGCCCAUUUCUCCCACUUUUGAAGGACCAGGGCACCUGGAAAGCAACACGAUUUGUUUUGUGAAGAAAGGUAAUUUCAGUCUGGAAGUCCAUGAAUAGCUUUCUGGUUUUUGCAUUUACUGCUGCUGCUGAGGACAUUCACUGUGCUGGGGACCAAAAGUUAGGUUUGACCACUGCAUUGAUCACUGUUCAGCAGUGAUGCUGAAGCUCUUCAAGGCUGCGCUGCUCUGGAGCAGCCAUCCAGAGCCUGCUCCUUCUGCCCUUGCAUCAGGGUCAGCUUUCAAGAGCCCAUUUGACUGCUGGCUGUGUGAUGCAAGGUAGGGAGACUUCUCUGUGCGGUGCUAAGCACUGCGUCUACAUGGAUUUUCCCAAGGCGGGAUGAACCUUCUCCAGGCUGCCUGACAAUACCACAAUAUCAUUGCACAAAGGUGCUGUUGUAUAGGCAUAUCAAGACCAUAGUGUCCUCAUGCUUUGCUGAGCUCUGGGCUUUUCAGCCCAUGGGAGCUAUUAGUUGGUUUCUGGCUCCCUGUUGACCGGCAUUUAGAGGAAAGUCUCACAGUGGUGUUGUUUUCCCAAGAGAUUUCUACUGCUAAAAUACGCUUCACUACAAUCUAACCAAACCAGAUGAUUUUAUUUAUUUAUUUUUUUAUUGGAAGUCCUAUCUGAUGAGACCUGAGAAAGUGAAUUGACUUGAUAAUGACAUGGAAAUGUUGUUCUUUAAAAAACAUCAGUGUACAAAAUGGAGACUGGAGGAAGGAGGAGGGGGGGAAUUAAGUUUAGGACUUAAUUCCUCCACGCUCAACAGCUUCAUUUAGAGGAAGAAUACAACAAAUCUCUUGUUUUUGCAGCACAAGGGCUUUAUACAGGUAAACACGUCGAGAAUUUUGCCUGUAGUGUUUGCCCAGCUAGACCAUAAAGAAUCCCUGUGAGCGGGGGGAGCUGGUGACACUGAACGGCCCCAAGGAGCUCUACUUUCCUCCCAUGUCCAUCUGCCUGAGUGCCAGGCAGUGAGACCGCUGGAGUUGUGCUAUUCCUGUGAGGCCAUCCAGCACGUUUAUUCUGAGUACAGACGCAGUGGUCUUCCAUUUUGCAAUUACAGAAACAAGAAUAUCCUGUCGAGCUUUCUCACUUUCUUCCCUUCCCUGCUGCCACUGCUUGGUAUGGCUGUAGGGAAUAUAAAUGGAACAGGAAAUUUGACCGCGUCCAGGAUCAAUGUCAUUAAAGACACGUCUUGUUUUAAAAUCUAAUUUUAUAUAACUGCUCCGUUAUAUAAUAUGCUUUUGUUUGUCGUCUUGAUUUUUAUCGACGUAGUGUACAUUCCCCUGGACCUUUUCAUGAAGGAAUGUUUAUACCUGUGGGCAAGCGCUAAUGGCAGUGAAAGGCUUGCAUUCAUGGGAAUAGCAUUUAGCAAUUCAUGGUUGCCAAGGUAAGCAGCAAAGGCAUGCCCUCUGCCACUCCACUGCCUCUAAAAGAAACAGUCUCUAAGGUAACAGGCUAGCACCCCUUGAGGCCAAAAAUCUUUAGCUUUUUAGACAGAAAAACACAUUAAAUAAUACCAAGAAAAGCAUUUUUUCUUUGUCCAGACAUUUUUUCUUCACAACAGAGAAGGGGCUCAAAGUGUUCUAUUUUUGGUUCCACGCAGGAAUUUAAUUCAGAUGCUGCCCAGUGCUUUGUGUGCUCAACACCCCUUUGACAGUUGAGUUUCAGGGGCACAUAGGACUAAUGAGCCAAGGCAUGACUGCAGUUGGAGGCUGGCGUCUCCCAGGCCUGUGGCUGUUGUUCAAGUGAAUAGGCAAUUUCCCUGAUUAGCCUGGAAUUUGCAGCAUUAUCUGGACUGUUAGUUGGCGUGAGCCCUUUUUCCAGGAUCACAGGCAACGUGGGAGACUGAGUCACCUGAAGAAAAGAUCUGCAGAGGCAGUGCUGGCUAGAUGCUGCUUGUUAUGGGACAGGAGAAUGGGCUUCUCUUCUCCACUUCAUCUUGUUCUUCAAUCUAUUGCCAUCUUUUAUCUUACUGCAGCAAGAAGGGGAGAAGUAGGUGGGUCACCACAUUUUCCCGGUGUAAGAGUUUAAUUGGAAGAAGAAAGAAACACCAGAGGUCUAUUUUAAAAAUUGAGUGCAAAAUCUGGAUAAUCUUGCUGAUAAUCUUGGUGUAUCAGAACCCAUUCCAUAUAGAGGAAGACUUGCCUUUAUCUCCUAUCUUGUCCUUUAUCUCUUUUGGGAAAUGCAAAAGAAACAUUUUCCGACAUGAUUUUUGUCUAAGCAACUCGGGUUAUUGCAAUUGCUUUACAAUUAUAAAAAUGACAGUUCAUGGACUGUAACUGAGUAAUACAGGGCAUACUUGUUGUCAUAUGCAUUUGUGUGUCUGGUAGAGUUCCUGGAGUUGUAACAAAAGCUGAAAGAUGCUUCCUGGAAACCUUUUGUAAGUUGUUCAACUGACUUGAUGCUGACAUUAAUAUGUUUUUACUCAGAAUAAAGGCAGAUUGAUAAUCAGACCUUACCAUACCUUCAAGCAUGCAACACAUGCCUCACAUUUCUGUGGGUGUUUGGGAAUAAUAAAUCAUAUGCUACUGAGUUGAGUCCUAACAGUGCAGGGGGUCACCUACUUUCAGUCUGAGAGAAAUAAAACUGCCCUGAUUGUGUUCAAAAAGACAUGCAUCAGAAUUCACUUCUCCAUUUACUUUCACUUCAUGUUCUACAGACUAAAGAAAUGUGGAAUAACUACAGACUUUCUAAUGUUUCAAAAUGUAGUAACACAGAGAACAUUAAAAGGGGAAAUUAAUUUGUUACGCUGUCCACCUCAGAAACACCUACAAUGUGAUAAUUUGUUAUUAUGCAAAAGAUGCAAAAUCAAGGGCAAGCUAGAGCUAGGAAGUACCAAGACAUCAUGCAUGUCUCCUCCUCAUUCAAGUCUGAGAUGUAAAAAUGGACUAAAGUUUCACUUCAGGUAGGAGAUAUGUAGCAAGUUGUGAGAAAUGGCAUGUCUUCUGACAUGCUCAGGCACCUAAACAGCCAUUGUGAAACAUACCCCUCUAAGAAACAUUAUACAUGUACUGUUCCUGUGGAAAGAUAGAAUGCUGGGAAAAUUAAAGUAAAAACUGAAUGCUCAUACUUAACAGUGUGGUUUGUAAGGCCUGUCUUUCAACAGCCAUAAAACAUCUCCAUUCCCAUAUCAGAAAGAUGAAAAUUUGCAAUUGCCAUCUGCUUAACAACUCUUAACUGCAACCGUAAAAAUGUACUAGUUUCAUCUAACUUACUUGCUAUCACAUUUCUCCUUCUCUCUGAUCUAUAACUCUGUAUUUUUGCAGAUCCUAAGGCAUAGUGUUGUGGUGAUUUUACCCUGCUGGGCAGCUGAACUCCACCAAAACUGCUCUCUCACUCCCUCCUCAAAGGAAAAGGGGGAGAAAAUAACAUAGAAUUGAUCUUCAAAUAUACACAUAAACUGACUUCUCUGGCUGAUCCAAAAUUCAACAAGGUCACUAGAAAGACUCCUAGCUAAGCAUCAGUCUAUCCCCUUGGAGCCUCAAGCAGGACUUUUUCUUAUAAUAUGUUACCUAUAUUUCGGUAGCUCAUCAAUAGAUGAGGGACAGAGACUGCCUUCGUGAGAUUUUUUUCACAUUCGGAGUUUAUUCAUCCAUUUAGCAAAAAGCUGGUUGAUGAUGGAAUUUCAAACAACCACGGUUUUCUACAACAUCUGGAUACUGGAGUUUUUAGAAUAUUCUUCCUAUAACAUUUUAACUUACACAGUGGCCAAAUAGUUUUGUCCCAGAACAUUGGCAACUUCAUUUUAAUUUGUGUUUUCAGUUCAGACACACAUCAGAGAGCCCAGACUUCUAUACAGACCGUAUCUAAAUGACUCAAACAUCUUGAUAGUGCAAAAUUGAACUGGAAAUGAUAUAAGACUUUCUUGUCAUAUAUCCAAUACUUCUGGUUUCAGUUGGCACUACCAAAGUUUCAGCUUUUCUUUUGUACUGUUAACAUUUAUCUCCAUGUCUAUCCCAGAUCUAGAAGCACAAAAGCGUAGAAAAACAUUUGUAAAAAAGACCAACCUAAUAUUUCAGAAAGCAAGGCAAGCUGUGGACAGUACUGAUUCUAAGAAAAGGCAAAGGUCUUUUAUUUCAUUGAAACUACUUUACCCAUUCUCACCUCAGUGUUUUCUAGGAAACCUCAAGAUAUUAAAACCUGGAUCCAUUACAUGAACACAGACAAAUGUAGUAAUGGUUAAUGAUAUAUGUAUUCACAAAAGAAAAACAACUGUGAAGUGCAUUACCAGGGACAGAUUUAUUGUAUUUGGUAGAUAAUAGCAGGUACUCAUGAAGUGUUUCUCUCAACCAGUGUGUUUAUUGCUACACCAAAAUUUAACUUCCUUCUGCAGUGUUUCUCUAAAAAUGCUGUUAUACACCAUGGUUUUUGUCUUCUGAAAACAGGACGCCUUAAAAAAACUUUAAUCCAUUUACAGCUAAAAUACUGUUUAUCUUUCAAUCCCAGGGACUAUGUGUGUGGUUGAUAAGGAAACACUAGUCAUUUUAUCCUUUGUGCACUGCCACUUACCCCAUCAAAAAUAAUAUGUCUGGUUAUUAUAAAUGAUUUGCACCUUGUGGUGCUUUCCUGGUAUUUGUGCUUCUCAAGAUGUCCCUAAUUUUCUACAGUAAUAUCAUAGUGAAACUGAGGCUGGUUUAAAGGUGAUGAUACAUGAACCAGGAAGAACCCUGCCUUACUUUCUGCUAAAACCACCAACAUCCUUUUACUUCUAAACUGAGCACAAGUGAUGGGAAGUCACUGAAAGACAGUAAACGUGAACCACACUUAAAUGUUAACUGGUUUUAAAUAGAAUUUUGACAACACACAGAAAACUAUUUAUUUUGAGACUUACAGGACUUCUGCAGGAUGAGUUGAUGCAAAUACAAUGAAAAUUGUAAUGUUUGCAUAAACUAUAAAUAAAACAUUAAAGAAACCCAAUUCCCACCAGGAUCACAAGCCAAAAAGAAGUAAGAAUAAACAAGAUCAUUAAUAUACAAAUUCAUUGAUUUUUUUUUCACCUUAAUAAACAAUGAACUCAUUAAUAUACCCAUAUCUGCAUAUAUACAUACAUACAUAUAUAUAUAUAUAUAUAUAUAUAUAUAUAUAUAUAUACAGACACACACAGAACUCAGAGAAAACUAAAAUGUUUAUCAAGGCCUGUUUCCCAAACUAUUACUUAUGGGAAACAGUCAAGGGUUUAACAGAAAGACACUAGUUUCUUGGAUUUAUACCUAGUGCUUUUUGAGAGAGUGAGUUAGGUUCUAGAAGGAAACGGAGGAUACUCAGAGAAAUCUCUAAAGGUAGAAUUUGUCAUAAAGCACAGACUGAUACAGACAGAAACCCAGUCUCACACUAUGCGCAUGAAAUUGUCCACAUCUGCAUGUGCAUACUCACUCAUGCAAAACAUAAAAUCUCCUUGAAAAAAGGAGUGUCAUCAUUAUUACAUAUAGUAGAAAAAAAAACAAAAACAAAAACCCUCUUGAAAAAUUGAGAUGGAAUAAUAUCAACAUCCAGUGUUUGAGGGAGCAGAGGAAAUUAUACAGUAUCGGUUUUAAUUUUGUUUUUUUUUUGACAGUUCAUCCAAAAUUAAUGGAAAUGCCUCUUAGUCCUUUGGGUUCAAAUCAAAAACCACUUUCUCUUGUUCAGAAUCUAGUCACAACUUCCAUUUCUAAUUAUUAAUGUAAAUUACUACUGAUGUAGAGGUGAUGCAGUAAGCUACAUUAACAUAAUUUCCAUAGAUGCAUUAUUAACUAAAGUCUAUUUUUCUUGCAGACAUACUAAUGUCUUUAUACUAACUGUAUAAAAGUAAUCUUAUUUUUGGUGAAAUACAGAGCUGAGGGAAUUACCAGCCAUACAGAUAAAGUAAGGUUUGAAAAAUGAAGAUAAUUUUACUAGAAUUGAAAAAGUCUGCUUUGGGAUUUGAGGAAACUGAAGUUAAUGACCCAGAUGCUUUGAAAGCUACUUACUCUUCCCACAACAUUGGCAGAAAAGAAAAAAAAUACAUUUAAAAGUUACACACCCAAUAAUACUUCAUUGGUUUUCCACCACAGGGAAAUAAGGUAACAUUGAAGUACAUUAAAUAUUCUUCCCAUGUAUUACACAGAAAGAAAUCACUGGUAUUGGCUCAGCUACAUCUUUGUUCGCCAAGACUUUGGUUAGUGAUUGUGGCCACUGAAUGUUCUGCCACUGUCUUCAUGCAACGAGUUACAAUAAUUUACUACAUGGAUGAGUUAGAAAUAAUUAAGCUACUUAAAAAACUAUUUAACCAUUCAUCCCAGGUUAUCCUCUUGCCUCACUGUACUGCAGUGUCCUUACGUGCUUUGUGCCAUCUGAGCUCAUCCACCCCAGGAUGGCUGAGUGCAGCAUUUUCUGGAUGCAGGGAGGCAAAUGUGGUUUUGGCAGCAUACUAAGUGUGAGGGUAGAAAUAGGCCUAAGGGGUCCUGUUGUGGAAAAAGGCGGUGGGCAUCCUUCAGUCAGUUAGGGUCAGAUGAGCAUAGCAACUUGUUUGUGAGGACUUGGCUAUGCUGACGUGCAACUUAUGUUGAAAUUCAAGGUCACAGGGAACAAGUCAGAGGACCACAGCUACAUGAAAAUUACCCAUGGAUUCAGCACUUUCCAAAAGGUUAAAAGGAUCUGGGGGGAUUUUUAGCUGGUACAAUACAAAGCAAGUGUGGAUGAGAAUAGGAUGCAUUUACAAUCUCAAUGAAAAAAAAAAAAAAAAAGAAUGAAAAGGUUAACCAAAUAACAACAAAACAACAAACAUUUAAGCUGUGAUUUAUAUUAAGAGGAAUGUGAUUUUUAAGAUGGCAAGAUAAGAGAGGCAAAUAUGUUAUUCUGCUUGGCUCCUAGUUACAAUAAUGAAACAAUUUUUUUGGCAAGAGAUUUCGGAAGAGAGUAAAAAUUUUAAGUUUAGAAAAUAUGACCUACAAGAGAAAGUAAAGGAACUGGUUUUGUUUUGUCUAGAAAAUGGAAGACUAAGACACGACAUAUUAACAUAAUUCUUCAAUAUAUAAAAUGUUGUUAUGAAAAGAACAGUGAGCGUUUUCCCUUCUUUUCUCUUUGGGAACAGGACAAGAGAUCCACUUAAUUCUCAGCAAAGACAGAAAUUAGAUUUCAUGUGAAAAUUCCUAAUUGGGGUAUUGACUUCUGGAACAGAUGCUAAGAGCUGUUUUAGACAAAUAUCUGUCCAUGACAACUUGUGUGUGCUUUACCAUGCCUUGCUGCUGGAAGACAGGUUGGAGGCUCCAUUCUAGGUAUUUUGGAAGACUUACUUCUUCUACAAUUUAGGAGGACAUUGACACAAAAUUUACCAACAGCUUAAGCACAGAGUAAAUUAUAGAUUGGAUUUUUUCAAUACCUUGGAUUGCCUUAUUUAUUUAUUUAUUUAUUUAUUUUUGUAAUUUCACAGAUGUUUUCAUUUCAGCUUCAUCUUUAUUAAUGUUUGAGUAUUUACAUAAUUCAGUUUAUUGAGUUAAGUAAUCAGACAGUGCAGCUAUUAAUAGAAUAUUUUAUAAUUUAAUCUCUGUUUACCUGGAAGUUCAAGAGUCAGAAAGAGACAGAAUAUAUGUUAGUUACUGCAAUUUAGUCUUAAACCUGCAGCAAUAAAAAUUUUCUGCUAUAUUCCUUCAUGGAAUCAGAGAACAGCUUGGGUUGGAAGGAACCUUGAAGAUCACCCAGUUCCAACCCCUCUGCCAUGGAUAGGGAUGACACAAAUACCUGAAGAACAAACAAAGAUCAUCUUUGUCAGUCUAUUUGAAUUUGUCAGGGAACAGAAAAUAGCGGAAAAUCCACUUCAUGAAACUAUUAUAAUAAUUCCACCAUCCCAGUGUGUAUGGGAGGUCUCAUUAAAUGCCUGCAGUUAUUUAACUCAGAAACAGAAAAAAUAAACCUUCUAUUUUUCUAUUAAGAUAUCUGUAAGACUGAAGAUGACUUACAGUCACAGAGAGUUAUACAGAAUUAGAAAAUUCUUCAGUGCUUCAUACUGCAUUAUAUGGUCAACUUUAAGGAAGGCAUAUUGGGGAAAAAAUAACAUUAGGAUUUGGGAAGGUGUAUUUUGUUUUUCAGUGGACAGCUAGUCUUUGGACUAGUUCAAUAAGAAACAUAGCUCCUGGAGGUGGCAGGCUGUAUGCCAGGAUUCACAGAUCAGACACGAUUUAAGUUGGUGCAUGCAAGAGAGUUGCUAAAUUUUCAGACUUUCAUAGCAAUUGAUAUAAAAGAAGCUUUUCCUAGGCUCAUGCCAACACAGAAAUAAAGAUGAUGGUGACGCUCUCUAAUUAGUCUAAACCAUUUGGUUGAGGAAGCUUACAAAGAGCUUGACAGGAUUUUUAAACCCUUAUCAGUAGGUUUUCUAGUAUCAGCUAGACAAAACCAUUAACCAUUAAAUGUGGAUUAUAGUUUGCUAGGUUUUAUCAGCAAACACCUACUCCUGGGUAAGUGUAUGGGCUUUACACCUUAGUUGGUGUUAAGUGACUCCCAAAGGCCCAGUGUGACCACCUGCUUCCACUUGCAGCCUGGGAAGACUUACCUUCUGUUUCAUUAGACUGUUCUAUGGAGUCUCCAUACCUUUCUGGGCACUGUUUCUCCAGAUAUUGCUUUGUGCAAACUCCAAAGACUUUCAUAGGAAUUGUGCAUUUUGACUCAGACCAAACAAAUAUGGAAAUUUUAGCAAUAUGGUUUAGUGGAGGACUUGUUAGUGUUAGGUCAGAAGUUGGACUCGAUGAUCUUGGGGUCUCUUCCAACCUAGAUAAUUCUGUGAAAUCAAUAGGAUGGUUACCCACAACUUUGCUGAGCAUAGAGUCAUGCCCUUGAUGUUUUUGAAAGUGUUGGGCCAAAGCUAAUGCAACUGAGACAGCAGGAGGCCUGUCAGAGCAUUGCUUCUGGGCCCUCAUUCCCCACUGAUGAGAGGAGGCAGCUGGAGGACACCAGCUCUUCAUCCCGCUUGCACAGUAGUUACAAAGGUUGGAAUGACUCUGUUGGGAUAAAAAUAAGAGCUAUUGAGAGGAAGUCUUUCCCAUCCCAAAUUCUAAUCAUCUGUGGGUUUUGUUGUUGUUGUUUGUUAAAAAAAAAAAAAAAGUUUGGAAAGAAGUUAUUUUUUAAAGUACUUUUCAUUUUCAUACAGGUCAGAAGCUGAAGGAAUGUAGGUGGAAGCACAAACAGACAUUCUCUCUCCUGAAUAAUCCAACCUUUUGGAAACUUUCAAGAAUCACUCAGAGCUUCUCAGUGGGUAGGGAUGUGCUCAGUUGUCAUUUGCAGGAUCACCUGUGGCUAAUUAGGAAAAAGAGUUGAGGGAGUUACAGGUUAGAUAGAAAUGCCAGAGCUGCAGGUGCUCUCACUCUCACUUAGGUGCCCAGCUUGUUUUCAGGCUCUGGACCUCUGGUCGUUUGUAUUUAUUUAUUUAUUUAUUUAUUUAUUUAUUUAUUUAUUUAUUUAUUCUUAUGUUGAUAACAGGGUUCCAGGCAUCCCUUUGGAAUAAAUCUAGUCUUUCUGAGAUUAAACCCACAAGUUAUUCUGGGGAGAAUUUGCUUCCAGAAACCACCAGCUCAGCUCUAUGCAAUUUUCCCCUGUUAUUCUAGAAAACUCAUGCCCUUGGGUAUCCUCAGACAGACUUAUACCAUGUCUGGUAUAAUGAAAAUUAAUGCAUGGUGUGCAUUAAUUUGAUAUUAUGCUAUGGUGACACCAAAGAAGCAGGCUGAAAUGUUCUGAAAGGCCAUGACAUACAAGAAUUUUGUCUUAGGGCCACGAUGUUUUUCUGUGUAUUCCAGAGAAGACAGCAGGAGAGUUGCUGCACAGUGCAGCCCUGGAGAGUAUGUAUACAAGUCACUCCAUGCUACCUGUUGUAGUAUUAAUCCCUCAUGGAAGGCCUGUCCCAAUAUGGUUAUAGCUGGUGCUGCAUAAACGAAAUAAAGAGUUCACAAAACAGAGAAGAAAUAGAGCUGUACUUAAGGAUUUCCAGAAGACUGAGGAAUACCUAAGUAGAAAAAAAUAUAAUUACUCAGACAACAAAAGGGAUGAUGGAUGAAAAGCACAGUGGUUGGAUAAGAAAUUCAUUCUACUUCUGCCAAUUCCUCAUUGUAAUAAUAUGUCACAGCCAGGCUCCAAAUAGCAGUUUGCUCUACCAUAAUUCUUGAAUUCAGUUACCAUUGAAAUACAUUUACUGCUGGUUGUUAGCAUCCAGCCCUCAAAAUAAUGCACAAUAUACCUUCUUCUUCUUUAUUUAUUUAUUUAUUUAUCAUUUAGUCAGAAAAAGUCUAACUAAACUCGGUUUUGCAAGUGUUCUGACAGACCAUGGAAGACCCUUUUAUACUGCUGACCAGAGGAUGGGUGAGAAUUUUCAAUAUCCAAAAGUCAAUAACUGAACUCAGCAAUUUUCCUUCUUGAGCAAGGUGAUUUGCAGAGAAGUAUCAGACCUCCUUUCUUCCCUGAGUCCAAAAUCCUUAGAGAGAGAAAAAGUAGAAUGGUUCUUCAAACCAGUGUGAACUUUGUUCCAGGGACUCUCUAGCAAUGAUUGUGUGGUGCUGGCAGGAGAGGAGGAACAAUUUUAUUUUCUGUUCUUGUUCUUCAGAUAAAUAAAUAAAUAAAUAAGAAGACCUCAAGCUCUUGACCUGCUGUGGCCAGCACACAGAAGAGCCUCCUCAGCACACCGCUUCCUAGAGUACGCCAGCCUAUAGGAAGCAACCACUCACAGACCUAAGGGAAAAUGGAAAAAAUGCUACAAAUGCCACAUCUUUUUUCAAUAAUUUCUGCAUUCCCCAUAGCCCUGAGGAUUCUGUCCCAACUCCAGCUGGUGUGUGCCAGUCAGUAUGUCUGGGAAUAUUGGUAGAAAUGUGGACAAAUCUCUUCAUUCACAUACUUGACACUAUAGCAGCAAUGCCACGUGUGAGGUCAGGGUUUCUCCUCCUGCAGGUAUAGGUGCUCUGCAGCCUGUGUGUCCCAACCACAUCACUGAAGAAAUGGGGAUUUCUCUGAAGAGAUAUUGUAGUUACACCAGCUACAUUAUUGAAAUCUCAGGUUUUCUUAGUAGUAGAGGUAUAGAGAAGCAGAAGAUCUGCUGCAGAUGUGGAAGAAAUCAUUUGCAUUUAUACCAAGCUCUAAAUUGGAGGUUAUUCAUGUAAAUACUUUGACCUCUUGAGGCAGAGUAGUGCAAAACAGAGUGGCAUUUUGGCAUCAUUUCAUACACAGGGCAGCACACAGGAAAGGCCACAGUCUCAGGCUUCUUUUUGGUGCAUUGUCUCUCUCUAUUAUUAUUUUAUUAUUAUUAUUAUGUUUUAAUUGGGUAAUAUCAAGAUGUUGAGACAGCAAGAAAAGAAAAGCCUCAAACCAUUUCAAAGGCUGUUGUAGUCUUAAAAAUUUCAGAAAUGAACUACAAAAAUGUAGUGGACCUGGUAGUCCCCUUUAGGUGUGAUAGACAUGCAUAGUUAUGUGCAUAAUGGUUGGGUUUUAAUUGUAGAAAACUUAAUAGCUGUGCACAAUUUCAUUUUUGAAUGCCCAUUCCUUUUGAAUGACUGUUCCUGAACAGUCCUUGUUCAGGAAGGCUUUUCUUCCUCUUUGGGGAGCUAAUUCUCUCGCAGAGUACAUGCAUAUGGACCUAUCUAUACUAGGCGCACGAUCUGUAGACUAUUUAUUAUUUUAUUUUAUUUAUAUUUUAUUUUAAUUAUUUUAUUUUAUUUUACUUUAACUUAAGAAGUUGCUCAUGCUUCUAUGUGCAAGUAGUUCCAAACUGAGCAAAACUAUCUCAUUUGGAGAAGGUAAAUAGAGUGCAAACUUGCAGAAGUUCAAUCAGUAAUGGGGGAAAACUGCUCAGCAUUGCCUCUUCUUUCCUUGUGCCCUCUUCCUCACCUUUCUUGAACAUAUACUGUAGACCAUCCUGAAAGAAAAGUCUCCAUACACCGCUCCCUUGAUAUUGAUAUAAAGGCAGCUUUACCUCCACCCAGAUUCUUCCCUGGCCUCAGUAACCAAGAAAACACAACAUCCAUCUUUCCCUCUUUCUCAUUCUGUCUUUGGACUUUAAGCCAGGUAAGAGUAUAAGCUAUAAAUUGAAGUGAAAUAUACAGCUGGGUAAAUAAAGUGAGACGAAAGGGAGAAAAAGGGAAAUGUGUUUCCUAUCACAGAGUUUAAAAAACAGACUUGGCACACAAGGGGAAAAAAAACAAAACAGGAAACAAGGUUUUACAUAUAAAUUAAACUUUUUCACCCUGAACGUUUUUAGAUAGCCCAGGAGUAAUAAGAAUGUGUGUUUCUUGGACUGGCAAAGCAAGCAUUCCAACACUAAAUGGCUUCCUGUUCAACAUGUUCAAAGCCAGGGACUGUUUUGGGGGGUUGGUUAGAAAUAUGUGUGAAGUAUGCACUUUUACUUCAAGCCAAAUCAAAUGUUUUUCGUCUUCCCUCAUCCCCUCCCCCACUGAAAAAAAAAAAAAAAAAAAGGUAAGCGUGACCAACAUUUUUUCCGUCACUGAGGAAGUUCAGUGAUUAGCCUUGAGUUAAUCUGCAAACAUUCAGGCUUUCCGGGAAAGUUACUUAAAAAGGAACUGGUCAAUGUCAUUCUGCACUGGCAUUUGAGGUUGUUGAGCUGUAAUGAGUAGAUGCAUAUAGAGCUCAAGAACUUGGCCCCAUGCAAAGACAGGGAAAUAGUGAAUAUUUGAGGGUGCGAAGUGUUUUACAGCAUUUUCCCCCAUUGGUGUCAAACCUGUAAUUCACAAAUUGUUGAUUCAUUUUCUUCUUCUACCACACCAGCCUCAAAUGUUAUUUGGUACUGCAUGUUCUUUGCAUCUUUAGGACAUUUUUUUAAUUUUUUUUUUUUUUGAGUUUUGAGUUUUACAAGGUUUGAUUACAUGGCCAAAAGUGAAAAUAACACGUGGGAAAAAAGCGUGGAGCACCAGAUGUCAUGGAUGCGCCAAGGCGAGGAGGUUUUCCAGUUCCUCACUGAAGCCACAAGGCACACAGCAGCAGUUCAAGCCAUGUCACCACUGGAGCUGCUGUUGAAAGCUGGGCAGCCGAUGAGAUAAGAAUGGGAUUGCUGAUCAGUGGUACGGCAGGAGUUGCGUGUUCAGAAGACUACGUAAGUGGUAACUGCUUUCAAAAGUAUGGAAAAUCUUGAAGUAGGAGACAAGUAUUUCACAGACAGCAGAUAUGAAGAAUUCUAAAAGCACAGAAACCAGAAAUGAGCGUUUCAGAAGACCAGUCAUAUCUGGCCUGGGUCUCAGCUGUGGAGAACUUUCUGAAGAGGUCCACCAGCUUAAAGAGAAUUGAUCUUCCUCCCAGCCUCUACGAACUAGUGUCUCAGAUAUCAGGGGACAGUAAGAGACUGACGUCCUUCUUACCAGACAAAUCUUCACUGAUUGAGAAAUUUGACACAUGGCUUUUAAACAAUAUUCCAUUCACACUACAGCCAGUUCAAAGUUGUUGCUUUUUCCCCUUGAAACAAAGAAGCAUUAUGAAGUCAACAAAACUGUUUCCACAUCAUGGAUAGAUUGGCAUGCAAUCUUCUCAAAAAGAGUCGGAGGAGAGAAGUCAAAAGAAGAAUCAAAGGUUGUGUCUUUGGAUGUGAAGGAGAAUGGUGUUCUUCACAGCCAUAGAAAAUGGAAGAGGUAAAGGUUUUGCAGGUUCUAGGAGAACAGUUCCAGACGUUUUAACACUUGAAAAUUGUCAUCUGCAGAAAUCAGCAGUGUUGCACUCACAGAAUUUUGUUACUGAGCUCUGGAUAGUGAUGAUGGGAGAAGGAAGGCUUCUACAUUGCACCCACUGUGCACCAAAAUCUAAUCAUGUGGAUCCAUAAAAAAAGACAGAAAACGUCACCCCAUCAGUGAGAUGUGCAGGCACUGCAGUUCAAGUUAGCCUCCACCCUCCUCCAGGUGGCUUGGUGAUCCAUCACCAACACCUGUGGGAACAAGCAGCUGGAGAUGUAGCAGAUGUAGCAGCUGCAAGAGGAAGCUUCUCUGCUUCUCAGCUGCUUCUCUGUCAGCUCCUACUCAUCCUGCCCUUUCCUAUACGCAUACCUUCCCAAAGGCACCAAAACAUCCAUCUCACUUCUCCACCCUACUGUCACAUCAGUUCCUCCUUCAUCCAUCCCAUCUGCAUUUCACCUACCAAACACUCUCCACCCACCUUACAUCAGGCUGUUAACACCCAUAUUUCCUGUGCUGUCAUGUGCCUGAUCUCAGAGCCUGAGCAAAAGUGCCAGCUGGGAGAGAUCCUUACAGCAGGCUCCAGCAGCAGAUCAGCAAUGGAUUUCCUUGUGGAGAUACAGAGAAAAAAGAUAAGUCAUUUUGAAUGUAAUAAAGCAUUUACAGUUUUUUUCACAGCCAGAGAAUUGCAUAUCAUUAUAUCUGACCUUUUAUAUCACUAUUCUAUAAUUAAUCUGUUUGCUUUGUUUGUUUUUAAAUGCAUCAACACUCUUCUUUGAAAUAUAUUUCACUAUACAGUGAAAAACAAAUAGAAAUUGCUAAUAUACUCUGUUACGUACACCCUGAGCUUUAACCCCCACCAAAACCCAAGCUGAGAGCAGUCACCCUAAGAACUCAGCCCUGCUAAAGCUGGGGGUUUUGAGAAGGGAGUGGGGAGGCACCGGGGCUGUGCUGUGCCCGAUGAGCAGCACUGCGCACAAUGGACAAUUGUCUUCCAGGUGUAUUCAUUUGUCUCCACAGAACAACAUUCCACAGAGCACAAAAGCCUUCAGUGUAGGGACAGCUAAGCAUAACAAAUGACAUACCAGACUUUCCCUGGGGCUUUGAUGAUUGUAAGAGGUCUCUGUGCCACAGUUAUUGACUUUGCUGUCUUUGUGUUAUCCUUUAAAAUGUAUUAAUGUGUUGCAUCAUUCCAAGUUCUGGUGCAGGAUUCACACUGGAAGGUAGGGAAACUAGAGGAGGAAGAAGGACUCUGAAAUAAUUCUUAGCCUGGCACUUUCUAAAAUAGUCUGUUAGUUUGUUGUCUUUCUGGCUGCUGGUUUUGUUGUCUCCACUCUUUUUUUUUUUUUUUUUUUUUUUUACAAGGCAAAGGUUUUUACAGAGUGAACUAUCUUCAUGUAGCUCCAAAUAACCACUUAUUUUGGUAAAAUUUAUAACACCAGAUUCUACUUUUAGCCAGGAAAUGCAAACAAAGCUUGGAGACAGCUUGUUCCCUGACCCCAAAUUCAUUCCAUGUUGCUAUAGCAUCAACCCCUGAGAAAAUGGGACCAGCUCUUUUCCUCUUCAUAGACUUGCUCAAUGGGCUUUUGUCAGCUGUUGAAUUAUAGCAUUAAAAUUUAAAUACUAGGGAUUUAAUGGAGGAUUAUUAUGACACCCUGGUACAUUCUUUGUGUUGCUCUUGGCAACAAACCCAAGGAAUGAGUGAAAGAAAUAAAAACGAAGAGUUGUCUUGUUAAAAUCAUGCUGGUGCUAAGACAUAUUUAGGAGAGAGAAAAAUGGUUUCCUACCUCUGACUAUUAUCAUUACAUCAAAUGGACUGAAAACCCUUUUCAGACAGUAAGCAAGACUAGCAGUGGAACUCCAUUCCAAAGCUGUUAUCAUAUUUUGAAAACAGGCUUCUUUCUACCUUGUGCACAAAAUAAAUAUAAUCAACAGUUAGGAAAAGGGCAUUGCAUCUAUUUACUACUUCCUGUGACUAAUCAGAUAACAGCAACACUUUUUAACAUUCUGGUAUUUCAGAAAUGUCAGACAAACUAUUUUAAAGCAGAAAGCACUAUCUGCCUCUAUCAGAAUGUAUGCAUGACAAGUUUUGUAUACAUAUUGCAUAUGCGUAACUUACAUAAAUGCUUAAAUUGCUUAAUAAAAAUGGGCUUUCUUAGUAUCAUGGUUUCUACUAAACUUUCUAUAUUUUAAGAAUGAUUUGCACAAAACAUCACCUUUUUCAUAGAACAGAAUAAAAUUUGGUGUCAUUCUUUAAACAGGAAUUUCAUUCUGAGCUGUAUAGCCAGCCUGUGCAAUGAAAUGUCACAGAAAUCAUCCGUGGAGCACACUUUGUCUGCUGAUCACUAGUUUUCCCCAGAGAAAUCAGGUCCAAAUUCACCUCUAGUCUAACUGCUCUAAACUCUGUCCAGAUGUGUGGUUUUUACUCUUUUUCUUUUUUAGUAAUUACAUUAAAUACAUUGUGUCUGUGUGUGUGUGAGACAGAGAAAUAUCUAGAAAUACGAGCUUUAUAUAGCUUUCAACUUGAAACUCUGGAGGCAACUUAACGUAUCUUCUAUGAAUGAGCAUCAGCAUAAUAUAUUUAACACACUAAAAUAAAUUCAUGAGCUGAACCAGCUUUUUUGAACACAAAGCUAGCUUCUGUAUGUUAGGAUGUGUCACAGAUUGGUCAUCUGAACUUAUUUUCUUGGGUAAAGAGAAAGCAAGCAUGUUAAACGUGACCCUGCACACCUCUGCUUGAGCUGGCUGAGAAAACUGCACUAACAAUGAACAUCUGAUUAGCAAGCACAGCUGGGACAAAAACAAAUUGGACAGAGGCAAUGGACAAAAGGAAGUGAUAGCCAGCUAAUGACAACAACAAAAAAAUAACCUGAUCUCAGCACAUUAACGUUGGUGUGUAAGUAUAAAACAAACAAACAAAAAAAAAAAAAACAAAAACACUGUUAAAACACUGUUAGUGAGAAAGAAUAGAGGAAGGACUGCUUCAGUACUUUGUUUUCGUUAAUAAAACACUGAAAACAUUAUAUUAAAUUCUCUCCUGAGAUUAGUCUCCCACAAAAAAAAAAAAAAAAAAAAAAGGACAACUCAUAAAGCUACCAGAUUUUUCAGAACCAUACAGAAAGAGAGAAAGAGGAUAAAAGUUUUCCUUAAAUCCCAGGGAAAUGGUUGACCACGGUCAUACAUUCCUGGAGGGGUGUGUGGGCUUGUCUGGUUGUCUUUCUAUUUCAGAAUUGCUUCACACACAGGAUUUGUCCAGCCUUAAGUAGAGGAUAGGUGAACUGGACACCUUGAGAUGAUUCAUUAAUGUGCUCUGUCCUCUUUGAGGCUUCAAACAGGGAACUAAUUAAGCCCCAUGUACUUCAGGAACUAUUACAAGUGUAAAUUCACUUGUGGUGUGCCCACUGUGUACACAAGCAGAGUGGAGAAUAGCUGUCACAUGAAAACAGAGGCAGGAAUCAUGCUAAAAUAUAAAUUAGAUGCUGGGAACAUGGAGAAAAAUGCUACCUUGUUUCCAGGAAGGACAAAGGGAGAAGAAGGGCCUCCAAGGAGGCUCAAAGAGGUAUAAAAGCAUGGGAAAGGGAACUUCAAGGUAGUGUGGAAAAGCCAAGCCCUAUUUUUGAGUAUGAUUUUUCUAGUGCUUGGAUUAUCUUCGCUUAUUUUUACAAUAAAGAGGUGCCUUCCACGUUACUGAUCUUUACUGAUCUCUUUCAGUGACUAGUGAAAAAUAUGUCAAAUGUAUUAGUUUAAAAUGUAUGAUAAAGUGUCCCAAAUAAUGAUGGAUGGAAAACCUUGCCUAGACCCUGGGUGGGGAGGGGGGGAGUAUAUAGUGAAAAUACUGACCAUGUAUAAUAGAAGUAAUGACCAGCAUAAUGUAUGGAAGAAAAUCUUUGGCAAGCUGAUGCAGCAAUUUAAAAAGUGUUCUUGUUUUUAUAAUUGAUCUGUUUGCUCUGUUGGAGAUGCUAUCUCAGCUAGAGCACAUCUGAGAAUAUGAGUGUUUAUGGUUUCCAUUAUGACCACUUUAGCACCUUGGAUCUUUUCUUUGUGUUUCUGUAGAGUACAGUUACUCCUGUAGUGCCUGCUGCUGGCUUCACACAUUGGAAACUGGUCGUGUGUAGUAGAGAGAAUUUAAAAAGCAAGAGCAGCUAUCCUAUUCUCUCAUAAAUAUUUUCUUGUUUGUGUUUCCAGACUGCCAAGAAAGAUCUUCUCAGAGCAUCAUGUGGCUGGAACACCUGAAAAAUUUUCUUGACACUUUCUCACCAAAAAGCUUUAAGAUGAGACCAUAUCCUCUCAUAGAAAUAGUGUUGGUUAGACAGACAUCCAGUACACACUGUUGCUAGCUGGCCGUGGAAAAAACAUCAGCUUUCUAUGCUACAAAUGUUUUAUUAAAUCCAGGGAUCUCAGAAAUGUGUGAUGAAGACAACUGCACUACAACAAUAGCCAAUGCAAAUGCAUUGUUUUUAUCUUUGGAAUUGAACACCUGACAUUUAGCACGUGGAAGAACUAUUAAAAGGUGCCUUUAUUACUCUAUUGCUAUGAUAUGCUUUUUAUAUGCAUUUUAUAUUUUUUGUUUAUUUUUUUUUUCUGGGACAGAUGUAUAAAUUCACCACAACCAAGUCCUGUCUUAAGGCAUAUGAUCCUUAUUGAAAAAGCAGGCAAGAGUGAUUUGACUUACUUUGGGAACAGAACAGAAUGUACCUCCUGCAUGCCUGCUAGUGCUCCUUGAGUAUUUAAUAGAAAAUAAGAGUUUUAAAUUUGUUCCCAAUUUCCUAGGACUUAAGUGACCCAUUUUACUUCCCCAUAACAUUGUAUGAAAUAUUUGUCUACAUAGCUUCUGAAAUUAUCUCCCAAAUUCUUUUACAUUUCUUCCUGCCAAAAAUUAUUUUUUCCAGAUGCAAACAAAAUUCUGAAAAUUUUUGAAGGAAAAAUAUGAGUAACAUUUAAAACAUCAUUGCCUAUUUCAUGAAAAAAAAAAAAAGUAAAAUGGAUGUGAAAAGAAAUGUAAAAUGCAUUUGGGAAAAUGAGCCAUGUUUUGAGCUGUUUUCAUUCCUGGUUGUGUAGCCCACAGCCGAUGGAGCUUAUCAGUACAGCCAAGAAAUUUACAAGACUUUUAGUUCUUCUCAUGUUUCCCACAGACAAUAAUACAAUUUCUGUAGAUUUUUGUUUUAAUGAAGCUGAAAGUUUCACUUCUCUGUUGAAAAUGUGCCAAAAUUCAGGUUGAAAAAUUUCUCUAUAUUGUAUUCACAUGCAGCAUCAUUUGUUUAUUUUUUUACCACCUUUCUCUAAAACAGCUUUAAAAUGUAAAAAAUAUAUGGUUCAGAAUCAACCUUCACUUUCUGAUGUUUAGUGAAUUUUUGUGAUGUUAUAAGUAUUUUCAGUGGCUCUAAUCAGGCACAUAUUUUCAUGCAUUUUAUUUUUAAUAUUGACAUUUCCUGUUUAUAUAUUAAUUUAUUUUCAAAUUUCCAGCUCUCGCUCCAAGGCCAUCUCCAAAUUUGGUAGCAAUGUCAAUGGGAUACUUCUUGGCAAAGAUAUUGCUCACAUUUUUGUUCUGUGAUUGUAUUCAGUAAAUCCUUGAUAAAAUCCCAAGACCUUGGGGGGGCAAUAAAAGCCUGUUUUGUGUUGCAAUAAUGUUUUUGUGCAAUUUGUUUCCUUCUGCUGAAUUAAAAAUGACUUUAUCUGUAAAAAGUACUAGGCUCUUUUUAUAACUUGGGGCUGAUGUAAUGGUAGCAAUUUAAAUACUUCUUGGCAAUGUUUUUCCAUUGAGUGAGCAUAUGGUCUAAUCUAUCAACAACAUGCACUGGUGAUUUAUCAAAAAUGUUUCAUUUUCAUAGUCUUUUUUGUUAUACUAGCCAUUCAUUUAGUUUGGAACAAAAUGAAUUCAUUCUCUAGUCAACUCAUAUCUGAGCGUGCUUUCAGAAUGACAAAUCCCACAGUUGCUCUGUCUGUGCAAGUAUUCCAUGUCACCUUUUCUUCAACUUGGUAACAGUCUCAAUAAUUCCAUAUUUCAAAGCCAUUUACUUGUAUAAGGUUUUCUUCCUUUCCUGUGUGGCGAUUUAAUUCCACCCCUUAUUUGAUCCUGCUAAUCUGACUUUAAGAAACUGUAACAUUCUCCUAUUUUCACAGGGCAAGCGUUUCUUUUCCUGUACUUUGUGUUGGCAGACUUUGUCAUUUGACCUACAACAUGUCAAAUGAUUUUCCAUAAAAAGUUUAUUGACUGUUAUUACUGAAGAAUUUAUUAUACUACUACUCUGGCUAUGAAAUCUUAAAAUUAUAAGGACUUUUGUUUUCUUGCUUUUCUGUUUAUUGUCCUUUUAUAUCUACUAAAAUUUUCUACUAAAAUUUUCACAACUUAUUGGAGAACUUCAUAUCAUCCUGCAAUCUUUAUUGAAUGCCAUAUUGAUUUGCAAUUAUUGAGAGGUACUUUCUAGCAGUUUCAGGCAUUUUGGACAUCAAAAAUGAGUUCUUUAUUGUGUUACUAGGACUUUCUUGAAACCAAUCUGUUGCUAAGUUGUCAGAAGUUUCCAUCACAUCAACUUGCCUUACGAAGUACUUUCUCUUCUGCACACGUAACUCUGUGUUUUUACAUGCAGUGUGUUUUUAAGUAUCUCUGAUGCACCUGAAAAUUUUCAGGACACUGUGGUUUUGGCAUUCAGCUUUGUUCCAGUUGGGUUAUUCUGGCACAUUUACAGGUAAAAUAUAUUUCAGGUAAGUUGUCACCUGUGCUCCUUCUGCGUUGGUUCUAGCAUCAUUCAGUUUUACUUGCUUCCAUCUUUGCCACUUUUAUAGGCUCUUUGUCAUUUUUAAUUGCUCAACUACAGUGUCAACGUACUAAUAAAAGUCCUUUCUGAUGGAGCAAGAACCUCCAGUAGGAAGCUUCUGCAGUAAACAGUGUCUAAAAGAAACAUGUACUUAGGGA